AACUUUCAACAACGGAUCUCUUGGUUCCGGCAUCGAUGAAGAACGCAGCGAAAUGCGAUAAGUAAUGUGAAUUGCAGAAUUCCGUGAAUCAUCGAAUCUUUGAACGCACAUUGCGCCCCCUGGUAUUCCGGGGGGCAUGCCUGUUCGAGCGUCAUU
rnacentral:rRNA from 3 species